rnacentral:rRNA from 1 species
UAUUUUCCUUUUUUUCCCUCAGCCGCGGUAAUACGUAGGUGGCAAGCGUUGUCCGGAAUUACUGGGUGUAAAGGGAGCGCAGGCGGGUGAUCAAGUCAGCUGUGAAAACUACGGGCUUAACCCGUAGACUGCAGUUGAAACUGUUCAUCUUGAGUGAAGUAGAGGUUGGCGGAAUUCCGAGUGUAGCGGUGAAAUGCGUAGAUAUUCGGAGGAACACCGGUGGCGAAGGCGGCCAACUGGGCUUUAACUGACGCUGAGGCUCGAAAGUGUGGGGAGCAAACAGG